rnacentral:rRNA from 1 species
UGGGGAAUUUUGGACAAUGGGCGAAAGCCUGAUCCAGCAAUGCCGCGUGUGUGAAGAAGGCCUUCGGGUUGUAAAGCACUUUUGUCCGGGAAAGAAAUCCUUGGCUCUAAUACAGUCGGGGGAUGACGGUACCGGAAGAAUAAGCACCGGCUAACUACGUGCCAGCAGCCGCGGUAAUACGUAGGGUGCAAGCGUUAAUCGGAAUUACUGGGCGUAAAGCGUGCGCAGGCGGUUUGCUAAGACCGAUGUGAAAUCCCCGGGCUCAACCUGGGAACUGCAUUGGUGACUGGGCAGGCUAGAGUAUGGCAGGAGGGGGGUAGAAUUCCACGUGUGAGCAGUGAAAUGCGUAGAGAUGUGGAGGAAUACCGAUGGCGAAGGCAGCCCCCUGGGCCAAUACUGACGCUCAUGCACGAAAGCGUGGGGGA